UUCUCUUCUCUCCGAGAAGCUCAACGGGUUGGGGAGGUUCAGUAUUCAAAUAGAGAAAUUAAUUAUCAUCAAUUUCCAAUAGAGAAGUUAUAUUUUUGCUUGUUUUCAAAGAAUUUGUUGUGGAUACUCAUAUAAGAAGAUCAAUCAUGAAGAAGAUCAAGAGAUUCAAGACUCUAUCUAAAAUUGAAACCUAAACCUAGAUGAAGGAAACUCAAAACCCAAAAUCAUUGUCGUGAUCGAUUUUAAUUUCUAAGACAAACAAAAGGAGCAUGACACUAUGACAAUGAAACUUUUAUUGCAAUUUGCAACCUGCUUGCCUAAUACUGGAUAGUUUUAACAUGUGAUUGUAAUCAUUGUACAAUUAUACCAUUUGAUCCUUGUGUCAAAUCCAUUGUUUGUACUGUAUGUUUCACUUUAUCUAAUGUUAAUUGUGUUUUCUUUCUUACUUAA